CCCUUAGAUGUUCUGGCCGCACGCGCGCUACACUGAUGCAUUCAACGAGCCUAUCCUUGACCGACAGGUCCGGGUAAUCUUUGAAUCUGCAUCGUGACGGGGAUAGAUUAUUGCAAUUAUUAAUCUUCAACGAGGAAUGCCUAGUAGGCGCAAGUCAUCAGCUUGCGUCGAUUACGUCCCUGCCCUUUGUACACACCGCCCGUCGCUCCCACCGAUUGGGUGUGCUGGUGAAAUGUUCGGAUCGGCCGUUUGUCGCGGUUUCCGCGUCAUGUGGCUGAGAAGUUCAUUAAACCCUCCCACCUAGAGGAAGGAGAAGUCGUAACA
rnacentral:rRNA from 1 species